GAUGAAGAACGCAGCGAAAUGCGAUAAGUAAUGUGAAUUGCAGAAUUCAGUGAAUCAUCGAAUCUUUGAACGCACAUUGCGCCCGCCAGUAUUCUGGCGGGCAUGCCUGUCUGAGCGUCAUUUCAACCCUCAUGCCCCUAGGGCGUGGUGUUGGGGAUCGGCCAAAGCCCGCGAGGGACGGCCGGCCCCUAAAUCUAGUGGCGGACCCGUCGUGGCCUCCUCUGCGAAGUAGUGAUAUUCUGCAUCGGAGAGCGAUGAGCCCCUGCCGUUAAACCCCCAACUUUCCAAGGUUGACCUCAGAUCAGGUAGGAAUACCCGCUGAACUUAAGCAUAUCAAUAAGCGGAGGA
rnacentral:misc_RNA from 1 species